rnacentral:rRNA from 1 species
AUACCCUAUUAUUUUAAUUGUAGAAAAAUUACUUGAGUAUUAAUAGUUAUGGUCUUGAAACUUAAAAAAUUUGGCGGUAUUUUAGUCUAUUCAGAGGAACCUGUUGUGUAAUCGAUAAUCCACGAUGGACCUAACUUAAUUUUGUUUUUCAAUUUAUAUAUCGCUGUUAUAGAAAAUUUUAUAAGAAUAAUAAUUUUCAGUUAAUUUUAUAAAAUUAUAUAUCAAGUCAAGGUGUAGUUUAUGAUUAAGUAUGUUAUGGGUUACAAUAAAUUUAUUUAAGCGAAUUUAAAAUUGAAAUAGUUUUAAUGAAGAUGGAUUUGAUAGUAAAUUUUUAAAGAUAAAAAAAUUGAUUUUAGCUCUAAGAUAUGCACACUCGCGGU